GACGAACGCUGGCGGCGUGCCUAAUACAUGCAAGUCGAACGCAGUGGGGACGGGUGAGUAACACGUGGGUAACCUCCCAUCAGAGGGGAUAACACUUGGAAACAGGUGCUAAACCGAUACUGAUGGAUGGACCCGCGGUGCAUUAGCUAGUUGGUGAGGUAACGGCUCACCAAGUCCACGAUGCAUAGCCGACCGGAGAGGGUGAUCGGCCACACUGGGACUGAGCCACGGCCCAGACUCCUACGGUAGGCAGCGGUGGAGAAUCUUCUGCAAUGGACGAAAGUCUGACCCAGCAACGCCGCGUGAUUGAAGAAGGUUUUCGGAUCGUAAAUCUCUGUUGUUAGAGAAGCGUUAUCUAACCAGAAAGCCACGGCUAACUACGUGCCAGCAGCCGCGGUAAUUC
rnacentral:rRNA from 1 species